GAGUUUGAUCAUGGCUCAGGAUGAACGCUGGCGGCGUGCCUAAUACAUGCAAGUCGAGCGAACGGACGAGAAGCUUGCUUCUCUGAUGUUAGCGGCGGACGGGUGAGUAACACGUGGAUAACCUACCUAUAAGACUGGGAUAACUUCGGGAAACCGAGCUAAUACCGGAUAAUAUUUUGAACCGCAUGGUUCAAAAAGUGAAAGACGGUCUUGCUGUCACUUAUAGAUGGAUCCGCGCUGCAUUAGCUAGUUGGUAAGGUAACGGCUUACCAAGGCAACGAUGCAUAGCGACCUGAGAGGGUGAUCGGCCACACUGGAACUGAGACACGGUCCAGACUCCUACGGGAGGCAGCAGUAGGGAAUCUUCGCAAUGGCGAAAGCCUGACGGAGCAACGCCGCGUGAGUGAUGAAGGUCUUCGGAUCGUAAAACUC
rnacentral:rRNA from 1 species